AUGGUCUCUUCUGGCUUUGAAAUCUAUUAUCCUAUAAUGCAAGGAGGGAGGGAUGGAUAGAAUUAUCUUUUUUAGGGCUUGGCAGGGGUGGCCUUUCAUCCCCAGAGCUCUGCUCCUGCAAUCAGAGCUACUUGCUUGGACCCCUUAUCGGACCCAGGAAGCUAUAGGUGAUUGUGCUAAGGGGACCUGACUUCAGAAUCAGGGCCUAAGACCUGGGUGGAGAUCAUCAACUGAGAGCAUGUGAGCAAAAUUUCCUCCUGAAAGCCAUAAACCUCAGGUUGCUCCCAACUUGGGCUGAUGCCUAAGAUCUGCCCUGAAACAGCCCAUGCGUCUCCUCUACAGUGGUACAUAGGUGGUUUCUCCAGCAGAAUGCCAAUCAGACCCUUCUAAAGCACUUUACAAACUACACACACAAUUAUUUCAACUGCUAUGGGCAUGCAGCCACCUCUGGGGUGGAACGCAGCAGCAAACACCUCCUAUGAUGGACUGGAAGAAAUGGGAACACCCAACGAAUGACUACAAACUAACCAAUCAACUGGUCAGGAAGCACAACACUUGAAAAAGUUAAUGAUCUGUCAAGUGCAGCAGUGACAUCCUGAUGGCUUCUGCAUCAGAAGGAGGAAGUGGAGGAGAUUUGAUGAGAGGAAGGGCCACCUGGCCUAGGGCAUAACCAGAGGGGACGUUUAAUGAAGAUCCUGAGCAGGAAUGGUGGAGGCUGCUGGCUGCUCCCUGCUGGGCAGAGGCAGCUAAGGGGAGCAGAAGAUUGAGGUGGGCUGGAAGAAGAGAAUCUCAGGGAAGGGGGCCAGACUGUGGAAAAGGCAGACUGAAUGCAGCAAAAGGGAGGCAAAGACCAGGGCUCGUUAGGGCAGGGCAGAACUCAGCCAGCUGCUGGGCUUGUGUUCUUAGGUAGUUAUUACCCAAGGUGGUGUGUGGUGAGCAGGUCCACUACUGCUCUUCCCUUUUAAUGCGACUUGAAGUGAAACACUGCACAGCGCUGGGCUGCUGGAGUCUCACUGAGCGGUUGGAGUUCAGAGUCAUAGGUUCCAAGGUCAGAAAGGGCCAUUGUCAUCUAGUCCAACCUCCUGGAUGACACGGGCCUUGGGGCUUCCCUGGAAGUAUUCCUAGAACAGAGCCGAGGAAAAAACAGCCAUUCGCAAUUUAAAAAUUGCCAGUGAUGGCAAAUCCAAUGCAACUCUUGGUGUAUUGUUCCAACAGUUAACUAUUCUCUCUGUUAAAAAUCAGCACCUUAUUUCCAGUCUGAAUGUGUCUAGCUUUAACUUCCAGCCAUUGCAUCGUGCUAGGCUUUUCUCUGCUAGAUUGAAGAGCCCAUUUAUCAGGUAGUGGUUCCCCCUGCAGGUACUUACAGACUGUAGUCAUGUCACCCCAUAACCUUUGCUUUAUUAAACUCUCUAGAAUUUGAGCUCCUUGCUUCUCAUCGCUAUCGGGCAGGUUUUCUAAUCCUGCAGUCAUUCUCGUGGCUCUUCUGUGAACCAUCUUCAAUUUGUCUGCAUCCUUCUUGAAUCGCGGACACCCAGAAUGGACACAGGAUUCCAGCAGCAGUCCCACCUGUGCCAAAUACAGAGAAAUCAGUGAUGUCAGAUUCCCCACCAGUGCUGCAUGAACAGGUUUGUCACACCCUGGUGAGACCCCAAUUCUAGAGAUAAAGCAGAGUUCAUUCUCUGCACCUUUGAGACUCUGGCUUCUCUGCAGAGAUUACCACUUGACAAGCACCAAUGGUGCUAGUGGCUUCUGUGAUGGGGACAGGUGACUAUUAAGGACCCACCAACUGAUUUCACAUAAGCUACUGUACCACCUCCUGCUGACCAAGCAUGUUCACUCUCCACAGGCUGCAUGCUGGGUUUGAACCUGUCACCUAGACCAUUGAGGCUACAAGCCAGGCCUUUGUGGGAAGAGAGCUGACCAUUGAAACAAAUGCUUUGUUACUUACACACAAAAUAAAUGAUUAAAGUUUUUUUUAUUCUGCUUUGCCUCUGGCAUCUAUUCAUCCAUUUAAAAUAAACCCUCCCCACACCUUGUCCAUAUGGUGUUCUCUGUCUCCAUUUCUCUUGUGUUUUGCAUGCCAUCAUGGUUGCUUUUCAUGGGCUUCUCUGGCCAGGUACCAGCAAGAAUCUACAUGUACUCUGGGAUUAGUGCCCUCUGGCUAACUACUCCUUGUGAGUGGCCUGAUGUCUGAGUUCUCCCACGUUUGACCAAAACAGAGAUGCUGAUGUAUUUUACCUUUCUCCUCAGGAUGGAAUGGUGCAGUUCACUAUUUUAUCCCCUUAGAGUCAACUGCAGCUUUCACUUAGUUCAACCCCUGGUUAAUUAGAUCCUCCAUCUAAUUCAAUCAGCACCUUAGGAGCUCAGUUGUUUGUGCUAACAGGGUGGAAGUUGUCUUCCU